GUCUACAGCCAUGACACUCUGAACAAUCCCAUUGUCUGAUCUUGGAAGCUAAGCAGGGUCAGGCCUGGUUAGUACUUGGAUGGGAGACCACCUAGGAAGUCCAGAUGCUAUAAUCC
rnacentral:rRNA from 1 species